GUGGGGAAUCUUAGACAAUGGGGGAAACCCUGAUCUAGCCAUGCCGCGUGAGGGAAGAAGGCUUUCGGGUCGUAAACCUCUGUCAGAAAGGAAGAACCUCCCAAGUCCGAAUAGGGCUUGGGACUGACGGUACUUUCAAAGGAAGCACCGGCUAACUCCGUGCCAGCAGCCGCGGUAAUACGGAGGGUGCAAGCGUUAAUCGGAAUCACUGGGCGUAAAGCGCGCGUAGGCCGCUUUGUAAGUCGGACGUGAAAGCCCUCGGCUCAACCGGGGAACUGCGUUCGAUACUGCGAGGCUUGAGUCCUGGAGAGGGUGGCGGAAUUCCGGGUGUAGGAGUGAAAUCCGUAGAUAUCCGGAGGAACACCGGUGGCGAAGGCGGCCACCUGGACAGGUACUGACGCUGAGGCGCGAAAGCGUGGGGAGCAAACAGGAUUAGAAACCCUUGUAGUCC
rnacentral:rRNA from 1 species